rnacentral:misc_RNA from 1 species
CAUGGCAGUAACAUUGUGGAAGGCAGAGUACCACCAUUUGGCAUUCCUGGAGGAAGUGACUGGAAGCCAAUCAUCAAUGGCUUUCCUUCUCACAGCCAAUGAAGUAUCUUGUGGCUGAUCAUCUGCCAUAGUUGCGAUUGUGAUGAUAGUUGUUCAAAAGAGAUUCAACUUUUGGAUCAAAGUAAAAAAUUUCAAAUUUGUUAGACUGACCCCAACUAUAGCACACAAACAAAAGGUUGAUUGAUCAUUUGAUUCAACUGGUAUUCAGACGAUCCAACAUAUAUGGAGACUUGAAUGGAUCUUGAAAUACUAUAAUUAGCAUUACUCAUUCAGACAAAGGCCAAUGCUAUUUGUGGUCUAAGCUGCUAUUUCUUUUUAUAGUAAAAAUUUUAAAUCCAUCUCAACUGUGUGAGACAUUCAGGGAGGCUCACAAGUCACAACAGUGGCUUGUAAACUGAAAAAUAUACCAACUUGUCCUAAUAAUGCUUGGUAGUUGGAGC